rnacentral:rRNA from 1 species
AACGAACGCUGGCGGCAGGCCUAACACAUGCAAGUCGAGCGAGGACUUCGGUCCUAGCGGCGGACGGGUGAGUAACGCGUGGGAACGUGCCCUUUGCUUCGGAAUAGCCCUGGGAAACUGGGAGUAAUACCGGAUGAGCCCUUUGGGGGAAAGAUUUAUCGGCGAAGGAUCGGCCCGCGUUGGAUUAGGUAUUUGGUGGGGUAAUGGCCUACCAAGCCGACGAUCCAUAGCUGGUUUGAGAGGAUGAUCAGCCACACUGGGACUGAGACACGGCCCAGACUCCUACGGGAGGCAGCAGUGGGGAAUCUUAGACAAUGGGGGAAACCCUGAUCUAGCCAUGCCGCGUGAGCGAUGAAGGCCUUAGGGUUGUAAAGCUCUUUCAGCUGGGAAGAUAAUGACGGUACCAGCAGAAGAAGCCCCGGCUAACUCCGUG